rnacentral:lncRNA from 1 species
UUUUGUUAUUUGUUAAAGACAAUUUUUAAAAUGGUCUCAAUCAUUACAUGCACCGUGCAAAAUUUCUAGCAAAUUUGCAAUGCAAUACACAUGAAGCAUAUAUGUUGUCAAACCACCAACGAUUUUAGUUCAUAUAUAUAUAUAUACACACACACACACAAAAUGCAUUAAAUUAUAUUAAUUAGUCUCUAAUCAUCGACCAUGCAAAUAUUUGUGAAGCAGAAUAUCUUUGUUGUUUGGCUUUGCAGGUUAAAGAUGGCCAUCCCCAAAGGCACCACUAUUGGCUUAGCAUCUAUUAUUGUGAUUAUAGCAUUAAUUCUCCACCAAACCGUGGCACAAGCUGUGUCUCCCAAUGGUUCCGUUGCAAGUAAUAUAAAGUGCUUUUGUUAGAAGAUCUCUACGAUCUUAAUAUAUUAUUAUCCCAGUUGUUCUGCAAUUGUCAAAAUUAAGAUUACAAAACCAUGAACAAUUUCAUGAUUGAUGAAUUUAGGUUCAAAUCUUCAUUGGGAGAGAUGCACACAUCUAGUGUCUGACCUGUCCCUAACAAGAUUUUCUACUGAUCAACAUUAUUUUACUAAAUAAAAUGUAGAGAAUGCAUUGUUGAUUGCUGUCCAAUUUUGCAUUUGAUGGUUGACAAGCUUUUUUUUAUAAAAAAAAAUAGUGCAUGUCAUGUUUAGUUUUAUCAAAAUACUGUAACUUUUGAAUUACUUACUAAGUUAGAUCAAAUUGUAUUUGGAAAAUACGAAGUAUAUACAAAUAAGUCAUAUCUGAUGAGUAUGACUAUCAAAUUAUAAGUUUUAUGCAAUCUUAUUUCGCAAAUACGACUUUAUAAUAUUUUAAUUAUAAAGAACAAAGACCUUCAUAUCAAAUAAGAGUUUCACUUUUUUUAAUACAUAACUUAGUCUCACCAAAUACAACUUACUUUGACUUGGUAAAUAAUUUAAAACUUGCAACAGAAUUGGUAAAAUUGAACACAAAUUAUACUAGUUUGAUUAAAAAAAAAGGCAUCACAAGUUAUACAAUAUGAUUUUGUGUCUUGUAUCCCCCACUACAACGCCUAAUAUGUGUUCAAGUUUCCUGUGUAUCCUAGUUUUUAAAUGACCUGACAGGAGCAUAUUAUUUGGAACAGAUAAUGUAUCAAAACCCAUUAAGCCGGACAAUACUGUUAGAGUAGAUCCAUUAGAUCAUUUAAAAAAAUA